GCAGCUGAGCAGAGAGGUCUGCCACAGCAAGGCGAGGAAAGGAACCUUUAAUGAACCAACUGCGUAGCUUCUCAAACUGCAAAAAGAAGCAGAUCAAUGGCUGUCUUAAGAGUUAAAGCCGUUUUCCUCCUGUUCGUUCUGCUGACUCUGCUCUGCCCUGCAAGUUCUUGGAUUGAGGACGACGACCUCAAAGUUAUAAGAAGAGACAUUCAGAAACUGCAACGUGAUGCUGCCAGGAGAAAAGCAAUUAACACAGUUGACCUUAAUUUCAUUCCUGGGAUCAUAGAUGAUGUCACACAGUUAAUGGACAGUUUGGUGGAAAUGCUGAGGGGAACUGUGCCAAAUUUUUUGCUAAGAAUCAUAAGAGAGAUAAUCGACUUCCUGGAGGAAAUGAAAGGUUUUGCUAUUAAAGAGCUGCUGAAUCAAGCUGCAAAUAUCAAGAACAGCACAGAGAAGCUGACACAACUGGAAACUCUUGUGACAAACCUAGCAGAGAAAAGAAAUAUAUGUUUUAUUCUGUCUCUGCUCUGACUUACUGAAGUGAUUUCUCUUUUAUAAAAUCAUCAUGUAUUCUUGACAAUUACCAACAAUAAAUUCUGUCUAACUCCAGUUUCAUGUUUCUUUGUCUUCACACUUCAACAAUCCUAAUGCAACAAUAAAUCACUAAACCACACAAGCUGCUUACAUAUUGAGAUGCCGGUUA